GACUGCUCCGCGAGUGCGCGGGGCGCCGGGUCUCUUCCGUGCCCUUCACCAGCGGAAGCUCGCCGCGCUAGUCUAGCCUGUGAGCUCCUUCCGGCGGGCGGAUCCCGGCACCACCUGGGGGUCCGGGGCGCGGCCUCGGGGCCGACGGACGCGGCUUCGUGGGGUGGUGGAGCGGACCCGGGCGGUCGUGGUCGGCAGGCUCCGGAAGGGCUGGGCGCCGGGGAGUCCAGGGAGGCCUCCCGGAGGAGUCGUGGUCCUGGCGAGAAGUGAUGGAGGAGGGGCCCAGGGGAAUUUUCGUAGGACGGGAAGCCUUUUUCGAAAACCUAACCCGUGUAUGGAGAAUUCAAAAGACUGCAGGAGGCGGGCAGGAACUCCAGUGAAGUGACCCGGGUGUGACAUCACUUGGUAUCCAUCCUUCACCCAGAAAAAGUAAGCCCGACUGCUCUACAUGCAACCUCAUUUUCCCAUCCAGGACCCUUUGAUGAUUUCUUCUGGAGCUUUGGCCAGAAGCUAAAACUGGCAGCUCCUGGACUAAUACAUUAAGCAGGCAGAUCAGAGCUGAUAUUUACCUCAUACGCACCCCGCACCAUACUGAUGGUGAAAAAUACUGAAAUACUUCAUGGUAAAUAGUAUCAUAGAAAUUGUUGUGCUCUACACUGGAAUUUGACACAACAUUGUAAAAUGACUGUUACUCAAUAAGAAAAGUUUCAAAAAAAAAGAAAAAUUGUACAGUUACAGUUAGCUAAUAUAAAAUUUAAUGUAAACUCAUAGGUUUGUUCUGACAGUUUUAGAACAUUAGUGCCGUAGAAAAUGGGCCUCCUGUUGAGGAACAUUCAUGUCACAGUCUGACCUGUGUCACUGAAGGGACUGGGGCUAAGUUGCAUGUAACAACUUGCUUGUAAUAACAAAACACUACUUGCUUUAGGAGAAUCACUAGCUUAAAAUAGUUUCAUUGUUAGCUCAGUGUAAUUCUUUUGAAAAUAGUAGGUGUGCAGGGUAUUUGUAUUUUAUACACUUAAGAUUUUAAUGUAAAUAUUGAAAACAAAUACUUAAAGAGACAAAAUCUUGAUACAUCUUUAAUACUUGUAAGUAUAAUAAAUGUGAAUCUUAAUCUGCAGAAGAACAAAGAAGGAAUUAUAAGAGUAGUGAGUCCCAGCCUGGAACUUGUUUUGAUACUGUGCAAGAAUCCGCACAAAAUAAAACUUGUAUUAAAUGCAUUUUAUUACAUAAAAUCUGUAGUUCUGGAACGAAAAAUUUCUUGAUUUAUUUUUCAAACAGGAAUUUGAGUUAUUGCUAAUGACAAAUUUUGCCUGCAAAUAGUGCUCAAAAGUUAUGUUAAAAGAUCAAAGUGUUAAACAUGUAAAUUUCAUCAGGAUGCUGUUAAAAAAUUGUGGUUGUGGUUCAAGUGAGAAAAGUUGUGAUCAUCGAUGAGGAAGGAACUUAAAACAUUUUCAUAUAUUAAACAUCUGAAAACUUAAAACUCCCCCAAAUGUCAUCAAAGUGAAGAUAAAGCAAUGAAAAGAUAUAGAGGGUACUGUCGGCAGUUUUAGCACUAUAUCGUUAAAUAUAAUUGAGCAUUUCGGUGAUUUACUAAAAUGUCUAAAGGAAUAAUACUGAUAUGGAAAUGGGUGCUGUGGAACCCACUUUUUAUGAAACAGAUGCACCUAAUGAAAAAGACAACUUUUUCAAGAAAAUAAUGCAGUGCAUUUUCAAUCAUCAAAGAAGCUUCAUUUGUCUGACAUAAAAGUAAAUGUUUUGUUUGUUUAAAUACAAGUGUUUUUAAAGCUUGCUGAAAGUACAAAUUUCAACAUUUGAAAAAGGCUCUUGUUGAUCUUAUGGCACUGGGAGCUGCACUUAAUACAAUGUAUUGAACUUUGUUGGUGGGGAAAAAUAGAUAUAUAUUUUAUUGGAAAAUGUUUUAUAAAAAUGUCAUAGGAAUAUUUUACAAUUUAAAAAAGAUUGGAUUUUGUACCAAAAGUGCCAGUAUAAUGCUAGAAGGAGUCUGGAGUUUCAGCCAAAAGUUUAGAAAAAACAAUUUUGGAUAUUUUAAUUUGUCACUAAGUGAUCAAAUUAAUUCUGGAUAAAGCAAUACAAGAUUUAAGUUAAGCAAUUUUAAUAUUUUUAAUAUUAAAUAUUUAAUAUUUUUCUCAAUAAAUUGUAUUUACUACCAUGCAUCAAAUAAAUAUCAGAAAGAACUGCAAAUGAAGUAGUGAGCUCUGAGCCCUGCUGGUUAGCCGGACGUGCUAGAGCUGCAGAAGUGACUGGAAAUGGGCAGCUCCUGCAUGUUCUCUGUGCUGGGACUGAGGUGCGGGUCCUGCGUGUUUUCUGCUGGGCCUGAGGUGUGGUACCUGCCUGUUCUCUUGUGCGGUAGCUAUCCAUUUAAAAAAUGUCCUUAAGAGCAUUGACAUUAAAAGAUUUUUUAAUGGAAAUAGCUUUAUGAGAAAAAUGUGUUACUUCUUAGAGCUGGCAUUAUUUCAGUGGACUAUGAAAUGAUUGACCAUAUGCAAGUUGUUAUAGUGUGUUCCGGUUGCUACAGCAGAACACAGACUAGGUGAUUGACAAAAACAGAAAUUUCUUUUUCAGAGUUCUGGGGGCAAGAAGUCUGAGAUCAGGGUGCCAGGGUGGUUGGGUUCUGGUGAGAGCCCUCUCCUGGCUUGCAGACUGCCAACUUCUUGAAUCCUUACUUUGCAGCGAGCUCUCUUGUGACUAAUCCCUAUGACCUCUGCCCUUAUGACCUCGUCAAGCCCUAAUACCUCCCAAAGGCCCUGCCUCCUAAAACCACCACACUGGGGAAAGGGUAAGGCUUUAACAUGAAUUUUGGAGAGACACAUUCAGUGUGGAACAUAAACAAGGAAACUUUGAAACAGUAAAUAUGAAAAAAAAAUAGGUACACUGAAACAAAGUGAAAUAUCAAUUCCAAGAGAAAAACUAUUGGAUUGUCUAAUCAAUAAUAUAAAAAGGUUUUUUGAUGAAAAAAUGAAUAAUGAACACUUCAGUUCUUUCAAUUUGUUGAAUCCUGAGAGGUGGCUAACUGGUCUGUGAAGCUCCAUGGGUUGAAAUUGAACACAAUAGUAAAUUAAGCCAACUGUUUAAAAGUUACUUCAAGAAGUGAUUUUUGUGACUUGGAACCAGAGACCAAGAGUCACUGUUUUUCACUGUUGCAUGUUUAUGUACAUGAAGUACAUUCUUACUGUAUUAUCUUCCCUCAUAAGGCAGGAAACGUGGAUGUGUGUAACGUAUGAGUUUUACAUCUUCCUGUGGGGCUCACAAAUGCAGGUGCUCUCUGGGGCCAGGGAGGUAACGUAAAUGAGCAAGGGAAGCUGGAUAUUCAUCACAGAAGGGUGAGGACCACGGCAAACUGAAUCUCAAGAGUCAGGCCUCACUCGCCCCCGUCUACUGCCAGGUGGGAAGGUAGACCCAGACUUCCAGAUUUUGCUAAAGAGACCUGGCAUUGUGUUGAGGUUUCCAGGCUGUGUCUUCUCUGGACAGCCCCACCUGGAGAGUGGGAGUGAACCCUGACCACCAAAUGUGCCCAUGCUCCCGCAAGCCUGUGGUCCUGAAAUGUCUUCUCCAGCCACAGUACCCGCUGGGCACAGAGUGAGGCAGGGGUGGCUCAGAUUUCAGCCAGGCUUUGAGUUUCACAGCAGGUAGGUAGGAGAGGGUGGACGGGAGCGGACGGGAGCCAGUGAUGUUUUCUUACUUGUAGGUAGAUGGGGCUUCCUCAGGAGUCUGAACAAACAGAAGCCACUUUUUCUGAUUACAAAAUGAUUCAGUUAGAAGAUACAUGAACGUACCAACAGGUGAUUGAAAGUUUGUAGUCUCACGUCUGGAGAGAAUUUAGUGUUGAUGGUUUCCUUUGUCUUUGUUCCUUACCUACUUUUAACAUAGUUGUGACCACAUGUUUUGUAUAUUGCUUUUAUAUUGUAACUUAAAUCAUUUUUAAUUUUCACGUUUUAAGUAUUCUAAAUAUGGUUAUAUCAUGUUAUUUUCCUCCUGUCACUAACAUUUUUUUUUCCACAAACUCAUUUUAAUAUUAUAUCCAUGGGUGGUACAUCCAGGGAGGCACCACGGUUUUACAUAACGAUUUCCCCAAAGUUAGGGGUUUAGAUUGGUCGCUGGUUUUUUCCUGUUGUAAAUCAUGCUGGGAUGAAUACCUUGAUGACCAAAAUGACAUAGCCUAUUACUUCUUCAGGAUAGAAUUCCCAAAGUGGGAAUUUCUGGGUAAGUCAAAAGCAAUAAACACGUUUAAAGUUC